rnacentral:rRNA from 2 species
AGGCCUUCGGACUGGCCCAGGGAGGUCGGCAACGACCACCCAGGGCCGGAAAGUUGGUCAAACCCGGUCAUUUAGAGGAAGUAAAAGUCGUAACAAGGUCUCCGUAGGUGAACCUGCGGAGGGAUCAUUA